rnacentral:rRNA from 1 species
UCAGUGGCGGACGGGUGAGUAACGCGUGGGAACGUGCCCUUUGGUUCGGAAUAGCCCUGGGAAACUGGGAGUAAUACCGAAUGUGCCCUUCGGGGGAAAGAUUUAUCGCCAAAGGAUCGGCCCGCGUUGGAUUAGGUAGUUGGUGGGGUAAUGGCCUACCAAGCCGACGAUCCAUAGCUGGUUUGAGAGGAUGAUCAGCCACACUGGGACUGAGACACGGCCCAGACUCCUACGGGAGGCAGCAGUGGGGAAUCUUAGACAAUGGGGGCAACCCUGAUCUAGCCAUGCCGCGUGAUCGAUGAAGGCCUUAGGGUUGUAAAGAUCUUUCAGAUGGGAAGAUAAUGACGGUACCAUCAGAAGAAGCCCCGGCUAACUCCGUGCCAGCAGCCGCGGUAAUACGGAGGGGGCUAGCGUUAUUCGGAAUUACUGGGCGUAAAGCGCACGUAGGCGGACUGGAAAGUCAGAGGUGAAAUCCCAGGGCUCAACCUUGGA